rnacentral:rRNA from 1 species
GAUGAACGCUAGCUACAGGCUUAACACAUGCAAGUCGAGGGACCGGCGCACGGGUGAGUAACACGUAUCCAACCUGUCCUUUCCUCGGGGAUAGCCUUUCGCAAGAAAGCUUCCUACCCGAUGUAAAGGCUGGUGGUGCGUUCCAUGAGGUUGUUGGUGAGGUAACGGCCCACCAAGCCUUCGAUGGCUAGGGGUUCGGAGAGGAAGGUCCACCAGAAUGGAACCAAGACACGGACCAAACUCGUACGGGAGAGAGCAGAGAGGAAUAUAAGGCAAUGGACGGUAGCCCUAACCAGCCAAGUAGCGUGAAGGAUGAAGGCUUAUGGGUCGUAAACUUCUUAUAUAUAAGGAUAUGUAUUAGAUGAAUAAGGAUCGGCUAACUCCGUGCCAGCAGCCGCGGUAAUUC